rnacentral:lncRNA from 12 species
CUUCAAGGUUGCAGCAAGUCUUCCCAUCUGUAACUGCUUGGUUCCCAGAUGGAAGCCAACAGAAGUUCUCUCUGCUGUCAGCCCAGACACAUGAUGUCUUUGACAGAUCUUUUGCUAAAAACAGAACUUGCUGUUUCCAAGGAGCAAUGGAAGGGACACUGGAAGCAGAAUGCCGAUUCCAGAGGGUAUGGAGACCACAUGCAGAUGAUCUCGGUGUGUGGGUGCCAGCUGCGGAGAUGUUGGGGACAGGCUGAGCUGAGAGCUCCAGAGGCAACGAGUGGAAGAAGGAACAGAUCUCACUUUGAAAUUUUAGAUACCUUUCCUCCAGAAGUUGUCCAUUCCCAUAAAAAUCACCAGGUGCUGACGGAACUUUACCUUAUUCCUCAGACGGCACAGGUGGCAUCGGAGGAGAAGCAUCAUCCCAUCUUUCACCAAUAAGCCUACUUUGGUCUGUCACGUUGGCAACCUUCAAGCACUUCAGCACAUUGGCAUAACUGCCGUGGACAGCUGGGCAUCAGCACACAUCUCAGCAGCACCCUGGAGCUGAUGCCAGCCAGCGUGGUGCUCUCACUUCCUCCGUAAUCCUUGCCAGCUCUGAGAAAGUGCCAAGCAUUGCCAAUAGCUGCUUUGAUGCCUUGUAGACAUGUAGGCUGGAUUUGUUAGCUUCUUAUCAGCUUACAAAUGACUUUGACAAAUUUUCUUCUUUGAUUUUCUUUUUCCUUUUGAAGGAAUGUUUGGAUUCCUAGUGCAUAGUCUUGUUUAUAUACCAAUUAAAGCAGGAAGCAAUUAUCAUCAAUUAUCAUGUGAGACUAGCUACUGUCUUGUAAUUACUGUGUUAAUUGACAUUAAGUUUAGAUAGAAAUUAUUGUUGCCUCCUUCCAACUAAAAACUAAAAAAUGGCAUGUCAGGAGUGAAAAAAGAAGAUCUACAAAUAUAAUCUUCUCCUGUAAGAAAAUCCACCUAGAGAACAUUUUUCUUAAAUGUUUGUGUAUUUCUCAUUUCUUAAGUCAUUCUUUCAUUCAAAAAUUUAUCACAGUGAUGUGGUUAAUUAACAGCCUCCAAAAUGGUCCCAAAUGAUCCAUGUCUCCUGGUUUUCAAGACCUUGAAUAGACUUCUCCCAUGUUAAAUAGAACUGACCCAGACUCCCGUGAUUCGGACAGUGAAAGACAUUACAGCUUCCACUUUGCUCUCCUGGAUUGUUCACUCUGUGAGAAGUCAGCCCCCAUGUCAUAAGGACACUUGAAGAACUCUAUGAAGAGAUCAACAUGAGAAGGAGCUGAGGUCUCCUACUGAUGGCCAAAACCAAGUACCAACCAGAUGAGUGAACCACAGUAGAAAUGAAUCCAGUCCAGCCCCAGCCAAGUCUUUAAGGAACUAGCCCCAACCUACAUCUUAACUUCAACCUCACAAGAGACCCUACCCCAGAACCACCCAGCUAAGUUGCUUCCAAACUGCUGACUUGCAGACACUGUAUCGUUAAUAUUUAUUAUUGUCUAAACCACAAAAUUUUGAAAUAAUUUGUCAUGCAGCAGAUGAUUGAUACAGAUGCUGAUUAUUAUUUUGAUGGCUAAAAUGGUGAUCCUAACUCCCACUGCCUAGAAAGAGAAAAUAUAAAACCAGAGAUAGGAUUCUCCCUUUAAGAAUGUGAUAACUGGAAUUAAAAAAAAAAAGUCACAAGGCAAAAACUCAGUUAAAUUGCAUUGCUUAUUCAGAUUCUGAAGGUAUUUAGAAUAAGUACCCUGAUUCUUUAACCCCAAGACUUAAAGAAGUAACUUACAUUCUAACUAAGGAUGGGGAAGGAAAGUUCUCGGAAAGACCUUUCUGCCACUCACAUAGCUUUUCUGGGGUGUAUUUCCUAGCAUCCAGUGUAAAAAGAAAGAAGAAGGGCUGCCUUACUGCCAAGUUGCUUCACUACAGAGCUAUCUUUAGCCAUUUGAAAUGCGAACCUUUGUUGUUUGUACAGUUGUUAAACUUUGGGAAACAUGUUUAAGGUAAUCACAUAAAGUGAUAAAACAUAACUCUUAGAGAAGAUAUAAUUUUUAUAAAUCACUCCUUUUUGAGUCACUUCCAAUCUAAUUCAAGGUAACGUAGACUAAACUUAUUUUGUUCUGCUUUCCCACCAUACUAACACUCGUGGUUAACACACACUGCUUACAAAAAAAAUCACUCAGGACAAAUCUGGCCUUUUAAACGGACCUUUAUAAUUUUCUGCAUUCCUUUUUCAGCAGUUCACCAAAAAGGGCUUGAUCUCCAUGAUAACCGUUCUCAUUGUUUCUAAACAGAAAACACAACAUCAAGUCUUAUUCCUCUCCAUGUGAAGAGAGCCGUUUGGGGUUUACGGAGCAGCUUCUUGCUCACCACGUCAGUUGUAGGAUGCUGACAACAAUGACACCAACAGAGUAUAUAUGUGGGUGCUCGUUUUACAUCAAGGGAACAGAAGGCCUGAGCAGCACAGCAACUUACCCCAAAUCACAAUACUCGAAAGGGCAGAGCUGGAAUGGAAAGCCAUGCCUAGUAAGUUUCUGGUUUAUCCUCUGGAACAACAGUCUUUAAUGACUAUUUUUCCAGACUGUCACAAAGACGACAUAUGCGGAACACUCCGCAUAAAGUAAUACUCCGCAAAUACAACUCUCUCCCAACCCCUCCACGGUUCACCUGCACACUGCGUGAAUAUCCGUGUUCCUGCCCAACAGGAGAAUGUGUUGUAUUAAUAACCCUUACUUUGUAACAUUCUUUGUACAGAAUCCAUUCAGUAGGUUCAUCAGGGACUCAUACAAAGUAGGCCAUGUAUGGGAGUCAGAAGACAGAGCAGCUUUUUUCAGUUAGCCUUCUAGAAUCUGCACACCCAAAGCUGCCAUAAUGAUGACCGUCAAUGUUGCAAUAUAAAGAUGCACUUGGGGUCCUAUCACGGUUUGUUUAAUAAUCUCUCCUAGCUACAUGUAACCUGCUGCCUACACUUUUGUAGCUUCUGUCCUCCUUUGCUGUGUGAAGGUCAGAUUUCUACUUUAAUUCUGCUCAUUCAUUAACCAUUUUAGGCAGCACUCUGAGUUCUGUAUGCCAACAGAGGGACAUCACCAUGUAGCGGAUUACAACCAAGUGUCCUGAAUUUGGGGAAGAUCUUUGUAACCAACUAACUCUAUGAUGUUAGACAAAUCUGAAAUUCUUCUGAGCCUGUGAAAUGGAAAUUGUAGCAUCUAACUCAACUAGCUCAUAAAACUAUUGAGAGGAAAAAUGAGAAAAUAUAACUGGAAGUUCUGUGUGAAUUAUAAAAUGUAGCAAAGAGCCACUGUGUGUUUGUGAAAGAGAUGAAUGCAAACAAAACCAAGUAAAUAAAUGACCACAUAAGCCUGUGUGCCUUCCCUGC